ACUGCUUGGUGUUACUGUCCUGAAAAUACCAUCUUUUUUCAUUAGUGAUGAAGAACGAUAUAGAUACAGAGACUAUGCAGAAAGAGGCUAUGACCGCCAUAGAACAAGUAGAGAGAAAGAGGAUCGACACAGAGACAGGAGACACAGAGAGAAAGAAGAGACAAGACACAAGUCAUCUCGAAGCAACAGCAGACGCCGUCAUGACAGUGAAGAAGGGGACAGCCACAGAAGGCACAAACACAAAAAAUCCAAAAGAAGCAAAGAAGGAAAAGAAGCCAGCAGUGAACCUGCUCCUGAACAGGAAAACACUGAAGCUGCCCCUGUGGAAUAGGGUUGUCUGAUUUUUGCUUACUUGCAUAUAUAUUAGUGCCAGAAAUAGAUUACUACAAAUCUUGUUAUUUUUCUGGGUAUUAAAAUAAUUUGCUCUU